CUUUCUCCCUUUGACCUGAUGUUGUAAUAAUAAUAAACUUGUCAACUCAUCUCCGACAGCCAAUCCAACCAUAGACCCUAGAAAAAUAGGAGUUUAGAAUUAAAAAAACAACCUUGAUCAGCCAAGGAUAUGGUUGGAUGAAGGCAGAAGCAAGCUCAUAGCAUAGAGAGACACACUAAAAAGAAAAGCAACAAAAACAGAGCGGACAUAGGGCAUGCACCUGUUGUCCAGGAGAGGACCGUGAAAUGUCCAAACAUGGAGGCCAGGCCAUCUCCCUGGAUGCCCGGCUGAGGGCAGCCACAUGUCUGCAGCGGUGGCUUGUGUCCAUGACUGAGAUGGGCAGGGUUUGCAGGCAGUGGUGAUCCCAUCAGCAGUCCCCAGAUCUCUAAUGUCAGGAGAAAGAGCAUGGGAAGUCCGACGUCCAGGAAAGUCCUUCAUCCUGCUUCUCCCUGCCUUGGGCCUUUUCCCAUUUCCGCGGUCACCUGUCCACAAUGGCUGCACUGUGUGGCCCUUCAGGUGUUCCUAAGACACUGAAC
rnacentral:lncRNA from 1 species